UAACUACUCCCCCCGUCCAGAAUUACUUGUCGCAGAAAUGGGUAAAAAUGGAUGUAUCUAGAACUAAAAUACGUCUAGAUACAUCAAUUUAUUUGACAAGUAUUUCCGGACGGAGGGAGUAUAUA
rfam:Triticum aestivum genome assembly, contig: Triticum_aestivum_CS42_TGACv1_scaffold_130095_2BL